rnacentral:lncRNA from 1 species
CUUAUAGUAAAAUGUGAGAGGAAAGAGACAAAUUGAAGAAGGAACCAGAACUUGAAGAUUUGGAAAAUUCUCAACCUAUCCACAUUGCAAAAAAUGAGAAAGCAUGCUCUGGAGAGCACACUAAGACUGCAGCUUUGGGUUUGUGACUUAUGGAUCCGAUCAGCCAUCUCAGCAGAAGCGAGGAAUAGAAAUGGGCUUAUCCAGGAAAGACCUGUGAAGGACCCUCUUCUCUGAUGGCUUGAAUCCAUCAGACUCAUCUCAAGGCCCUUGAGAAUUUUCUACCAGCAGAAAUGCUCCCAGCUUGUACUGCAGGGGACAGAGGUGGGAUGAAAUGGAGGAAGGCUGUUGGAGUUCUGGGACUCGACAGAACAGGACAACAGAGCUGUCUGGCUGCAAACAUGUCUUAUGCUUCAGCAAAAGAAAAGAAUGAACCUGAAGGCAGUUCAAGGUUGACAGGGCUGCCACUGCCACACUGGCCCAACGGCACAGGCCUGGGGGGCAAAGCUGUCUCCUCCUCUAUUUCAGAGGGGUCAGAGCCUCUGCCCAGGGCCAAGGAGUGAGGGCCACUACCCUGGUGGGCCCAGAAGGCAGAGCUUGGAGCCAAAGAGGCUUAUUCUUGAGCCUUAAUAUCAAAUGGAAUUUGCCCUGUUAGGUUUCAGACUCGCUUGGGACUGUCACCCCUUUCUUCUUUCUAAUGUUUCCCUUUUGGAAUGAGAAUGUCUAUCCUAUGUCUGUCCCACCACUUUAUUUUGAAAGCACUUAACUAACGUGUUAUCUGGUUUUAUAGGUUCACAGCUUGAGAAGAAUUUUAUCUCAGGAUGAAUGUAUGUCUCACACAUACCUGACUGAGACGAUAUUUAGAUGGGAUUUUGGACCUAUAGUUAAUGCUAGAAUGAGUUCAGAUCUUUGGGUCUGCUGGGAUUGGGCAAAUGUAUUUUGCAUGUGAGAAGGACAUCAAUUUGGAGGCCAGAAAGCAGAGUGUUAUCGGCUGAAUGGUGUCCCAUGAAAUUCAUAUGUCGAAGUGCUAAUCCCCAGGACCUCAGAAUGUGACUGAGUUUGGAGACAGGGCCUUUAGAGAGGUGAUUACAGUUAAAUGAAGUCAUUAGGGUGGGCCUUCAUCCAACAUGACUGGUGUCCUUAUAGGAAGAGGAGAUUAGGACACAGACAUGCACCGAGGGAAGGCCAUGUGAGGACACAGGGAGAAGACGGCCAUCAACAAGCUAAGGAGAGAGGCCUCAUAAGGAACCAACACCUUGAUCCCUACUGACACUUUGAUCUCAGACUUCCAGCCUCCAAACUAACAUGAAGCUGAUGCCCUCAUGGAUCCCAAAAGCUACAUGCACAGCUCAGCUUGGCCUCCUGCCAGCCCCAAGCCAGAUGUCCAUGGAGAGUGUGCGUGUGUGAGGACGUCCACAGGGAGGCCUCUGGCACUGGACAGGGCCCCAACAGUCACGUUCCACGAUGAGCUCCCCAGCAUCCUGUGCUUCCAACACUCCUAACAUGUACUCAGGCAUCCAUUGGUGAGCACAGGAAAGCAUGGACUCUCACUGCACACAAGGUUAACCCAAAAGCCACUAGGUAUCCAGACUAGUGGGCUCCCAGCCCUGGCAGGCUCUGAGGAUGCAGAUCAGUCUUGAGGAGGAUGGGUUGAUUGGUUAUGGAUUAUUUUCGUCGACACCCGUCACAAAGGACCACAUAUUGUAUGAUUCCACUUAUAUGAAAUGUCCAGGAGAAGCAAACCUAUACAUAAAGAAAGUAGAUCGGCGGUUGCCUACAGCAGGAGGGUGAGACUGGGG